rnacentral:rRNA from 1 species
ACCCGCUGAAAUUUAAGCAUAUAAGUAAGUGGUGGAAGAAAAAAUAAACAUGAUUCUUUUAGUAAUGGCGAAUGAACAAAGACAUGGUCAUUUUGAAAAUUGUGGUCUUAGAUCAUGAAUUGUAUUUUCAAAAUGCAUUGCUAACACAACUGCACAUGUUUGUUUAUUGGAAAGAACAUCACAAAGGGUGACAAUCCCAUGUGUCAUGUGUAUGUUUUGUGUACAGCGUGCAUUAUAUGAAUCACAUUCAUUGACAAUUGAAUGCAAAUAGAAUGGUAAAUUUCAUUUAAUCAUAAAUAUGUUGUUGACAACUUAUAGCAAACAAAUACCAUGAGGGAAAUGUGAAAAGGAUUUUGAAAAGAAAAUUAAAAGAGCUUGCAAUUGCUGAACUGAUAAGCAAACAAAACAUACGUGUGUAUGCAAGAUUGUUGUAAUGCUUAGCAUCCUAUGCAAGGCUAUUGCAAUGAUUUUUUGUAUAGUGAUGCUACCUUUUUUUAGAAUUUGGAAUGUCUUUUUUUGAGUGUGAAUGGAAUUUUGUUUGUUAGCAAAGGAAUGCACUUUUAGAUUCAUUGUUUGAUUUGAUUUAAAAAUGUUUGUGACACGUGUCUUUGUUUUAGUUUCAUGCUUCAACCAAGGACAUUGUGUUUGAUCCAUAUCAGCAAUACAUGUUUUGUUUGACCCGUCUUGAAACACGGACCAAGGAGUUUAAUUUAUGUGCAAGAUCAUGAAACUGACAUUUGUAUAUCAAUGAAAAUAUUUUGUUGGGAUUUGUGCACCAACAACUGAUAAGUUGUGUGACGCGACGUUGAGUUUGAGCAUGUUGAUUAAAACCCGAAAGAUGGUGAACUAUGCCUGAACAGAAUGAAGUCAGAGGAAACUCUGAUGGAAGUUCGUAUCGAUACUGACGUGCAAAUCGUUCGUCAUACUUGGGUAUAGGGGCGAAAGACUAAUCGAACCAUCUAGUAGCUGGUUCCCUUCGAAGUUUCCCUCAGGAUAGUUGGAAUUGUGCAGUUCUAUUUAGUAAAGCGAAUGAUUAGAGGAAUUGGGAACUCUUUUGUUCUUGACCUAUUCUCAAACUUUAAAUGGGUAAACUGCAAUGGUUGCUUUGUGUGAACUUUUGGAAACAAAUGUCAAUACCAAGUGGGCCAUUUUUGGUAAGCAGAACUGGCGAUGAGGGAUGAACCUAACGUUAGGUUAAAGUGCUAAAUUUCUUGCUCAUUUGAUACCAAAAAGGGUGUUGGUUCAUUUUGACAGCAGGACGGUGGUCAUGGAAGUCGAAAUCCGCUAAGGAAUGUGUAACAACUCACCUGCCGAAUGGACUAGCCCCGAAAAUGGAUGGCGCUCAAGCAGGUGACUGAUGCCUAVCCAAUGUAACAUAACAAUAUUGUGUAGGAGGGCAUGGUUGGUUUGUGGUGAAGCAAUUGUGUGAACCUUUUGUGAAACAACUUCUAAUGC